CUUGGUCUUAUCCCCUACUCAGAAGUGCUUCACAUCCAUGACCAUGAGUCCCUUCUAAGAUUAUAGAGAGUAUUAUUUGCUCUUCACCCUCUUGUAAGGCGGAAGGAAGGCUCCUUCCACUUUCAUUUGAAACACGGUCACACCUAAUGUUCUUGUCUUCUGUCCGGUGGGUUAAAAGAGAUCGGGAUGAGGCAUACUUUUUUCGCUCAACACCCUAAAAAAGUUUCUUGGAAGUCCAACGAAGGCCAAAAGAAAACACAAGCCG
rnacentral:lncRNA from 1 species